UUAUAUGUCAAAUUCUCUUUAAAAAGGUGCUCAUCCUGAAUUAAAUUAUUGUGGGGAGAUAUCGUAUUCAUGAAGAGAUUUUUUUACCUGAGAACUUCUCAUUGCAAGGAAGGAUAUGUAGUUGAAUUGGGUAGCAAUGACUCUUUUCUGUGCUAGUAGGAACUUCUUCUCUAGCACAGAAGGGAAAAGUCUGUAGACAUCAUCUCAUAAUUUUAAAGCUGAAUGGGAUCUGAAAUAUUUUCUAGUAUAGGGCUUGUAAACCAACUGAUUUCAAGGUCCAGGCAGAUUAUCAAUAUAUGAAGCUGGUCAGUUACAGGAUUAUAGGAAAUAGUGGAGACCAAGGUGACCCACACAACACUUGGCCUGUUUAAAGGAUCUAAAUAUUGUUAAAGCUCUUUGAGAGAAAAACAAAACAUGGGCUUCUAGCUUGUUUAGUCUCCUCUCAUAACCUCCAUCAUCCUCAGUCCAUCCAAAUGAACUCUUAUUCUAAGUAAACACAGUGUGCUCACCAAGCAAACGCAGACUUCUGAGAAGUUCCUUAGUCCCUUUCAGCCAGAUUGCUGAUCCCAAACUCUUCCUAUUUAUAAAUUCCAGAAUUUCUAUUGAGCAGAAUUCAUCUCUAAAAAUCUUCCAAACUCUUGCAACUUUUACAUGUGAUGCUGACCAUUAGCAUCAGCAUCACCAGAGAGCCAGUUAAACGUGCAAAUUCCCAGGUCCCACCCAAGAUGUACUGGAUCAGAAGCUCUGGAGAGGGGCUCAGCAAUCUGUGUUUUACACCCCCUGUGGGCGAUUCUAGUAAACACUAAGUUAGAGAAGUCCAGAUCUAAAUUUUUGGGGGAAAGAGAUAUAUUCAUUCUUAUCUAACUCUAGGAUUCCCAGUCUGUUUUGUGCAAAAUGUGCUGGUAGAUGUUAUCCACUCCCCUGUCCCCAGAGCACAUUGCAAACUGCAUGUUUACAGAUUUACGGAAUUAGUCGGCACAUGAGAGGAAUGGAAUUCCUAGUACCUCCUAAGCAGUGUGGUUGAUGACAGCAAAGUUCAGUGAGAUGUGCUUCCCUACAAUGUUUGCAAACUUGUUCUUCACUCAUUUUGCAGAAGGAGUGCUUUCAGUUACAAUCUAAUCUUAAGGCAUAUUUUAACUUCACACUUUCAAAAAAAUUAAUAGACAAUUUUAGGUUCACAGCAAAAUUGAGGGGGAAAGUACAGAGAGUUUCCAUUUACCCUCCACCACACACAGCCUCUCCACCCCGCCCCCGCCACCAUCAACAUUACUCAUCAGUGCGGUACGUUUGUUACAGUGAACCAGCAUUCGUUCUCUCUCUCUCUUAUAGAUACCUGUUUUAUAAGGCACAGAGAGUUUGAGUAAUUUGCCCAAGUUUGCAUAGCUAGUUAAUCAUAGAACCAAGAUUCAUUCCCAGACAGUCUGGCUUCAGAGAUUGAACUCAUAACUACUGCACUGCACUGCUUCUUGUAAACAGCAAGCCAUUCCUAUGCCAAGUGUAUUAUCUUCAGCCUUAACACCAAACCAGGUUAUUGCCCAUCUCUCUGCGAGAACUUUCUUCACUUGACGACUUUGCUAUCUGAUAUCUAUAUAAAGAAUAAAGCUGCUGUCUUUAGAUUAUUUGACCUCAAUUACUUUUUUUUUCCUUUUUCUUUUUGCUGUGUAGAAAGAUCAGCUGAAAUCAAACUCAAUUUCUUAUGCUUUGACUUGACACACAAUUAGCAGUAUAAUCAUGAAGUAGGGCUCAUUAAUGCAAAGAGGCAUAAGAGGUCUGACUACAGCUCCAAAGCUAGCAUGCUGGCAAGAGUGAGAUGGAGACUGAGGUUUUAUUACAAGCAAUAGGAGGAGUUGUACGUGCAAAAGUGGUCUUGGUUCUUGAUUGAGAGACUCUUACAGAAUAUGUCAUUUGUACAACCUUGGCCACUCUUCUUUAGCCACCAACUACAGAGAUGGUGUUCUCAUAUCAUUGAUCAAGUCUUUAUUCAAAUAAAUGAUUUAAGAGGAAAAAUUUCUGCUUUGACCUUACCUUGUAUACUUCUUUCUGAAGCUGCUUGGGAAAGAAGACUUAGGUUUCAGAGGCAGCAGCUUCAGAAGAAGGGGGAGAACACCAGAUGAUACCGACUCUCCUGUGAGGUGACAAUGGACUGCAAGGCUAACAGUUUACAGUAUUUGCCUUCUUUGCAUUUUUGGAACUUGGGGAACCUCCCAUUCUCUUCAAGAUGAAAAUCCGGUUUACGUUACAGGUACACUUCAUUAAUGAUGAAGACCAUUAGAAAGUUUCCACAUAAUUUUAAUUUUUUUAUGAAAAGUGAGGUGACUACCUUGUGCUUGAAGAGCAUUUGAAUUAUACAACUAGCAACUGACUCCUAUUUCAAGCCAUAACUCUGUAUCAAAUUGUGGGGCUGAUCCAACAUAAAAUAAGAUUACUCAUCUGUUAGAGGAAAAGUUCCAACAGGAAAAUUUAGGUAGGAUGUGAGUCAUAUAAUGUGACAUUCUUCUGCCCUGUAAAUAAAUCCUGUUAACUAAACCAUAUGUUUUAAAGGAGUUUAAAAAAAUGAAAAUGUAAAAUUUUUAUAUAUCUAACCCCUUGACCAAUUAUGUAUUUUAUACAUUUGAAUUUCUCAGGUCUAUAAUUGGACUUUGGAAAUAAGUCAGUCAUUUUAUUUGCAGGAAGCCUUUCCAACUACAUUUUUUGUUUAAUAAAUAAUUUCUUUUUGUAUCAUUUAAACACAGCAAAGACAUUGAGCUAUGCAUAAUUCCCUUUUGUUGUUAUUGUUUUUAUCUAGAUGGUACUGUCUGAAGCAAAAGCUAGUACUAAAAGUUCUGAAAUGUUAAAUGUAUAGUCCAUGAUCUCCUUUCUUAAAUUUUCCAAGGGUUAGUUGAGUUGUUGGGAGAUGAGAAUUAAACUUCAUAACUUCGAUGGUCAAGUUAGCAUUUCACCUCUACAACUUGCCUUUAAAAUGAUGAUAUAAUAACUUGCUUCCAUUGGGAAGUUUCAGUGCAACAGCUAGAAUCAGGGUACUACUGAAAUGGAUUUAGCUUUGGUCACAGAAUUUUCAAGUUGCACCCCACUCCUUGUUUCUUUUUUCUUUUACUUUUGGAUCGCUAAGGACCACUUAUGAGUCACAGAGUGACUACAAAGGAUGGGGGUGGUAGGAGAAGGAAAACAGGAGACAGACCUUGGUGGGUCUUAGAGGGACACUAAACUAUCACUUGAGGAUUUAAAGCCUCUGACUAUGGGUACAUGUGUGUUAAGUGUUUCUGUGUAUGUUUGUAAAACGUAGAUGGAUUUAUACCUCUAUGUUGUUAAAGCUAAUGAAAAUUGAGUCUCUACUUAAUUUUUUCUUUAUAAUUUGAUAUCAUUUGUCUUCUUGAAAUACCCUUGACUUAAGCGACCUUCUUCAAGUACCUUUUUCUCUUCAGUGACUUGUAAUUCUCCUGAUUUUUCUACCUCUCUGGAUGUUCUUUUUAAGUCUUCUGGGGGGGGAUUCCUCUCCCUUGGUUCAUCUCUUAAGUGUCAGUGUUUCAUGGGAUACUGUUCUAGAAAUUUUCUCUUUCUAGACACUCUCCCUGGUUUUCUACUUCUAUGGUUUCAAUUGCCAGCAAUAUGCUGAGUGCAUCCAAAUCGAUUGUACCAGCCCAGACCUCUCCUCUUGGAUCUGGAUGUCUCCAGGUGUUCUCUGGACAUUUUAAAUCCAUAGCGUCCAUAAUGGAAUUCCUUAUCUUUCUUCCCAAACUUGUUCUUUCUUGUGUUCCCUCUAGUGAAUGGCCACACCCCAGCAGCCAGUCAGCCGGAGUGUCAUUCUGGAUCCCUCGCCCCCCACACCCACUGCUUCUCAUAAAGCACCGAGUCCAGCUGAGACCACCUACUACACACUUAACCCAUGUGUUUUCUCCAUCCCAUUGCCACAACCACAAGUCAGGUCACGAGCAUCUUUUCCCUAGAUUAUUGUGUCAGCCUCCAAUUUAGCCUCCCAGCCUCCGGUCCUGCCCUCUAACAGUUCAUUUUCCGAGUUACAUAUAAUGCUUCUAAAACACAAAUCUGCCCAUGCUGUUUUACCUCCAGUCUUCCCAUGACUUCCCAUUGCAUUUAAGAUGAUUUCCAAGCCCUAUGCCAUGGUUUACGAUGCCUUUUAUGAUCUAGUCCUUGCUAAUUUCCCCAGCCCCAUCUGUAAACACUUCUCUAUUUAUCUUAUUUUCAGUAUCAUUGAAUUAUUUUCAAUUAUUCAAACGUCAAGUUCUCUCUUACCUCCAGCCAUUUGCAUUGGGGUUCCCUGCCUGACACACUUACCCCCUGCAUUUUCUGCCUGGCCAACUCCUGUUUCUCAGUUUUCAGUCCAGAGAAAGCAAGAAGCCUUUCCCGAAACUCAAGACUGGGUUGAGUCCUCCCAGGCAUUUGAUACUUCCUCCAUCUAAGCAUUUAUGGCAUCAACUUACAGUGGUCUAUUUGCCUGGCUGUGUCUUCCGCUAAGUUCCAUUAGGAGAAUCUGUUUCAUUCACUUUUCAAUACACAAUGCCCGGGCCCGGAACAUGGAAGGGAUUAAGUACAUAGUGAAUGAGUGAAUGAAUAAAUGAAUGAAUGAGAGAAGGGCAGGAAGAGGAUGAAGAUGGGAGCAUAUUUACCUGGAGCCACAAACCAUAGCCACCUUUGCGUUCCUACUGUGUCCUAGGCACUGUUCACAGCAGCUCCGGUACAUUUAAUGUUCCCAACAAACUGGAGCAGAUGAGGAUUCUGAUGCCUAGAGAAAUAAUGUAACUUGCUAAAGGUCAGACCUUUCUUAAUUUGGCGCUUUCUCCUCUUUGGUGGGGAAGCUGAGAGUGUUCACUACAUCUAAGGAGAUAGGUUACUAAUCACAUUUUGCAUGUAAGUAUCACUAAAGUGAUUAUCACAGACUUCAAGGCUGAGGUUUUAGUUUCUA